UUUUUAAAGAUAUAACUCUUUUUAGAUCUAUUUAACAUGUGUUUAUUCAACCUGAAUACACACGAGUUUUUUUAAAGAUACGACAUUUUUAAUAUUUAGUAUACAAAAUUACAUUUAUUUAAUCUGUGUAAUACACAUUGUUUUUAAAGUUGUAAUUUUUUUUAUUUGAUAUAUAAAAUUGCAUUUAUUUAAUCCGUACAAUAUACGGGGUUCAUAAAUAUGUAACUUUCUAUUAUUUAAUAUAUAAAUUACAUUUAUUCAACCCGUAUAAUACACGGGGUUCUAACCUAGUAUAUUUCUAAAUAAACUAUGUAGUAGUAUAUAUAUCUUAAAUAAUAAUCUAAUAUAACGUGAGUCUUUUUAUUAUAGAAUUUCCUUAUCUCUAUUUUUUUUAAUCGAUUAACACUUAAAUCAAGAUAUAUGAAUAUAAAAAACAAAAGAUGAAAAGAUGAAAAGAUAUAAUUUAUGUGAUUAAAAGGAUAUAUAGGAGUCAUUCUUUAUCUCUAAUUUUUUGUUUAUCCAUUUAUUUAAGCGGGAAAAAACAAUUGAGAGCACUCCAGAAAGCGCCAUGUGUCCUUCAAAUGGUUUACUUUAUUAUAU
rnacentral:lncRNA from 1 species